CUUUUGAUGGCGACCGGCGCACGGGUGAGUAACACGUAUCCAACCUGCCUCAUACUCGGGGAUAGCCUUUCGAAAGAAAGAUUAAUACCCGAUGUUAUAGUCCUACCGCAUGAUGGGAUUAUUAAAGAAUUUCGGUAUGGGAUGGGGAUGCGUUCCAUUAGUUAGUUGGCGGGGCAACGGCCCACCAAGACAACGAUGGAUAGGGGUUCUGAGAGGAAGGUCCCCCACAUUGGAACUGAGACACGGUCCAGACUCCUACGGGAGGCAGCAG
rnacentral:rRNA from 1 species